GAUGAACGCUGACAGAAUGCUUAACACAUGCAAGUCAACUUGAAUUUGGGUUUUUAACUUAGGUUUGGGUGGCGGACGGGUGAGUAACGCGUAAAGAACUUGCCUCACAGUUAGGGACAACAUUUGGAAACGAAUGCUAAUACCUGAUAUUAUGAUAAUAGGGCAUCCCAUAAUUAUGAAAGCUAUAAGCGCUGUGAGAGAGCUUUGCGUCCCAUUAGCUAGUUGGCGAGGUAACGGCUCACCAAGGCGAUGAUGGGUAGCCGGCCUGAGAGGGUGAUCGGCCACAAGGGGACUGAGACACGGCCCUUACUCCUACGGGAGGCAGCAGUGGGGAAUAUUGGACAAUGGACCAAGAGUCUAAUCCAGCAAUUCUGUGUGCACGAUGAAGUUUUUCGGAAUGUAAAGUGCUUUCAGUUGGGAAGAAAGAAAUGACGGUACCAACAGAAGAAGUGACGGCUAAAUACGUGCCAGCAGCCGCGGUAAUACGUAUGUCACGAGCGUUAUCCGGAUUUAUUGGGCGUAAAGCGCGUCUAGGUGGUUAUGUAAGUCUGAUGUGAAAAUGCAGGGCUCAACUCUGUAUUGCGUUGGAAACUGUAUAACUAGAGUACUGGAGAGGUAAGCGGAACUACAAGUGUAGAGGUGAAAUUCGUAGAUAUUUGUAGGAAUGCCGAUGGGGAAGCCAGCUUACUGGACAGAUACUGACGCUGAAGCGCGAAAGCGUGGGUAGCAAACAGG
rnacentral:rRNA from 1 species